rnacentral:rRNA from 1 species
UACGGAGGGUGCGAGCGUUGUCCGGAAUUGAUUGGCGUAAAGAGCUCGUAGGCGGUCUGUCGCGUCGGCUGUGAAAACCCGGAGCUCAACUCCGGGCCUGCAGUCGAUACGGGAAACUGGAGUGUUGCAGGGGAGACUGGAAUUCCUGGUGGUAGCGGUGAAAUGCGCAGAGUAUCAGGAGGAACACCGGUGGCGAAGGCGGGUCUCUGGGCAACACUGACGUGAGGAGCGAAAGCGUGGGGAGCGAACA